GCCUGGGUGGCUCAGUCGGUUGGGCAUUUGACUUCAACUCAGGUCAUAAUCUCAUGGUUUGUGGGUUCAAACCUUCUUCAGAUU
rnacentral:tRNA from 1 species